rnacentral:rRNA from 1 species
UCACUUCCGAGUCUAUGUUUUCAUAUACCCUUUAUAAUUGAAGUCGAUGAAUGUAUUAGGCUUUGGCCAAUAAAACAAUACAACUUUCAACAAUGGAUCUCUUGGUUCUCGCAUCGAUGAAGAACGCAGCGAAUUGCGAUAUGUAAUGUGAAUUGCAGAAUUCAGUGAAUCAUCGAAUCUUUGAACGCACCUUGCGCCCUUUGGUAUUCCGAAGGGCAUGCCUGUUUGAGUGUCAUUAAAUUCUCAACUUCAACACUUUUUUGUAUUGAAGCUUGGAUGUUGGAGGGUCUUGCGGGCAUAUAUUAAUGUCAGCUCCUCUUAAAUGCAUUAGCAGAACCUGUGUUCGGCUCUGGUUUGAUAAUCCUAUCUAUGCCAUUGCUGAAAUGUCAUUGUUCAGCUUCUAAUGGUCCAUUGGACUGUCUCUUCAGAGGCAUAUAUUUUGACUUGACCUCAAAUCAGGU